GGAAGAGGGAGAAUGGCUUACUGCGAUGUCAUCUUUGAUGAUAUUGUGGAGGAAAGUCCGCCCCCCAUAAAACGGAACCGGUGUGAAUCGGUGUGUGAGAGCGCAGGCGAUGCAGCAGAAACGGAUGUCUUCCUGUAAAUAUGAUGAUACGCCAGUUGAAGUUCCGGGAAAGACAGUGAAACGGGCAUCCUUCCAGGAGCAAGGUUUAUCCGCUAAGUCUGAUGCCAUUAAAACAGAAGGCGGCUUACUCCCCUCUUCA
rnacentral:RNase_P_RNA from 1 species